ensembl:snRNA U1 U1 spliceosomal RNA
AUACUUACCUGGCAGGGGAGAUGCAGUAAUCAAUAAGGUGGUUCUCCCAGGCACCACAAUUGUGAUUUGGUGUAUCUGAACUCUGUGAACUGCUCAAGUGGGCCUAAUUUCUGGUAUUGGUGGAUGGUGUCCACUGUCUCCCC